rnacentral:rRNA from 1 species
UGCAGUCGAACGGCAGCAUGAUCUAGCUUGCUAGAUUGAUGGCGAGUGGCGAACGGGUGAGUAAUACAUCGGAACGUGCCCUGUAGUGGGGGAUAACUAGUCGAAAGAUUAGCUAAUACCGCAUACGACCUGAGGGUGAAAGUGGGGGACCGCAAGGCCUCAUGCUAUAGGAGCGGCCGAUGUCUGAUUAGCUAGUUGGUGAGGUAAAGGCUCACCAAGGCGACGAUCAGUAGCUGGUCUGAGAGGACGAUCAGCCACACUGGGACUGAGACACGGCCCAGACUCCUACGGGAGGCAGCAGUGGGGAAUUUUGGACAAUGGGGGCAACCCUGAUCCAGCAAUGCCGCGUGUGUGAAGAAGGCCUUCGGGUUGUAAAGCACUUUUGUCCGGAAAGAAAUCGCACUUACUAAUAUUAGGUGUGGAUGACGGUACCGGAAGAAUAAGGACCGGCUAACUACGUGCCAGCAGCCGCGGUAAUACGUAGGGUCCAAGCGUUAAUCGGAAUUACUGGGCGUAAAGCGUGCGCAGGCGGUUGUGCAAGACCGAUGUGAAAUCCCCGGGCUUAACCUGGGAAUUGCAUUGGUGACUGCACGGCUAGAGUGUGUCAGAGGGGGGUAGAAUUCCACGUGUAGCAGUGAAAUGCGUAGAGAUGUGGAGGAAUACCGAUGGCGAAGGCAGCCCCCUGGGAUAACACUGACGCUCAUGCACGAAAGCGUGGGGAGCAAACAGGAUUAGAUACCCUGGUAGUCCACGCCCUAAACGAUGUCAACUAGUUGUUGGGGAUUCAUUUCCUUAGUAACGUAGCUAACGCGUGAAGUUGACCGCCUGGGGAGUACGGUCGCAAGAUUAAAACUCAAAGGAAUUGACGGGGACCCGCACAAGCGGUGGAUGAUUGUGGAUUAAUUCGAUGCAACGCGAAAAACCUUACCUACCCUUGACAUGCCACUAACGAAGCAGAGAUGCAUUAGGUGCUCGAAAGAGAAAGUGGACACAGGUGCUGCAUGGCUGUCGUCAGCUCGUGUCGUGAGAAGUUUGGGUUAAGUCCCGCAACGAGCGCAACCCUUGUCUCUAGUUGCUACGAAAGG